GGUGAACGCUGGCGGUAGGCCUAACACAUGCAAGUCGAACGGCAGCACAGUAAGAGCUUGCUCUUACGGGUGGCGAGUGGCGGACGGGUGAGGAAUACAUCGGAAUCUACUUUUUCGUGGGGGAUAACGUAGGGAAACUUACGCUAAUACCGCAUACGACCUACGGGUGAAAGCAGGGGAUCUUCGGACCUUGCGCGAUUGAAUGAGCCGAUGUCGGAUUAGCUAGUUGGCGGGGUAAAGGCCCACCAAGGCGACGAUCCGUAGCUGGUCUGAGAGGAUGAUCAGCGACACUGGAACUGAGACACGGUCCAGACUCCUACGGGAGGCAGCAGUGGGGAAUAUUGGACAAUGGGCGCAAGCCUGAUCCAGCCAUACCGCGUGGGUGAAGAAGGCCUUCGGGUUGUAAAGCCCUUUUGUUGGGAAAGAAAAGCAGCAGGUUAAUACCCCGCUGUUCUGACGGUACCCAAAGAAUAAGCACCGGCUAACUUCGUG
rnacentral:rRNA from 1 species